AUAACGGUCCUAAGGUAGCGAAAUUCCUUGUCGGGUAAGUUCCGACCUGCACGAAUGGUGCAACGAUCUGGGCACUGUCUCAGCCAUGAGCUCGGUGAAAUUGUAGUCUCGGUGAAGAUGCCGGGUACCCGCAAUGGGACGAAAAGACCCCGUGAACCUUCACUACAGCUUAGUAUUGACUUCGGAUAAACAAUGUGUAGGAUAGGUGGGAGACUUUGAAGCAGCAUCGCCAGGUGUUGUGGAGUCAACCUUGAAAUACCACCCUUUGUUUAUUUGAAGCCUAACCCCGCAAGGGGGACAGUGCUUGGUGGGUAGUUUGACUGGGGUGGUCGCCUCCAAAAGAGUAACGGAGGCUUCUAAAGGUGCCCUCAGCACGCUUGGUAACCGUGCGUAGAGUGCAAUGGCAUAAGGGCGCUUAACUGUGAGACCUACAAGUCGAUCAGGUGCGAAAGCAGAGCAUAGUGAUCCGGUGGUUCCGUAUGGAAGGGCCAUCGCUCAAAGGAUAAAAGGUACUCCGGGGAUAACAGGCUGAUACCGCCCAAGAGUUCACAUCGACGGCGGUGUUUGGCACCUCGAUGUCGGCUCAUCACAUCCUGGGGCUGAAGCCGGUCCCAAGGGUAUGGCUGUUCGCCAUUUAAAGUGGUACGCGAGCUGGGUUUAGAACGUCGUGAGACAGUUCGGUCCCUAUCUGCCGUGGACGUUGGAGAUUUGAGGAAAGCUGCUCCUAGUACGAGAGGACCGGAGUGGACGAACCUCUGGUGUUCGGGUUGUGACGCCAGUCGCAUUGCCCGGUAGCUAUGUUCGGACAGGAUAACCGCUGAAAGCAUCUAAGCGGGAAGCCCCUUCCAAGAUGAGAUCUCCCUGGACCCUCGAGGUCCCUGAAGAGCCGUUCAAGACCAGGACGUUGAUAGGUCGGGUGUGUAAGCGCUGCGAGGCGUUGAGCUAACCGAUACUAAUUGCUCGUGCG
rnacentral:rRNA from 1 species